UGCGGAAUCCCAUAGCGUAUUGGUUAGCGCGCUCACCUCAUAAGCGAGAGGACCCGGGUUCGAUUCCCGAGUGGGGCAA